AUAGUCAAGGUAGGUGAUCUUAAUCAAACAUUUUAAGAAUUUCUUUCAUUCGCACAAUGAUUGAUGCAUCGAAAUGAAUGCAAUACCAGCAGUGUUCAGUUGAAUGGAGAUAAAACAUGUGGCUGCUGUAAACGGUUGCCUGAAGGAUGAAUAAUUCUACUCAUUGUAAUAGUCGGAAAAAUGGAUGCAACAGUAUCCUGUUGUUCCUAAUGCGAUCCAGAUGAAACAUACGCCAUGGUGAAGAAGGAAUCAAACUGAAACAUACGCCAUGGUGUGAAAGAAUCAAGUAAAAUGGCGCUAUCCUCACAUCGGUUCAUUCUGCUCAAUGAACGGACCAACGAAGAAAAUGGAUGCAACAGCAAAUCAUCACUGUUCCGGAAGAGAUUCUUAUGAGCCAUACACCAUGAUGUCAAAGGAAUCCAGAUGAUACUUGCGCCAUGGUGCAAAGGAAUUCCGAUGAUUCAAACGUCAAAUGGUGCUAUCCUCAAAUCGCUUUCUACUCAAUGAACGGACCAACGAAGAAAAUGUAAACCAUCACCGUUCCGGAUGAAACUCAGAUGAAACGUACACCGUAAAAGGGAUCCGGAUGAUACAUAUGCCGUAGUAGAAUCCUCAUAAUACAUGCGCCAUGGUGCAAAGGAAUCACUAUGAUUCAUGCGUCAAACGGUGCUUUUCUCAAAUCGUUUCGCUCGAAUCAAUGAACGGGCUAUCGAUGAAAAUAGUAAGUAAACGCCAUAUCCCUCCAUCAAGAAUCCAAACCCAUUUUUCCUGGAAUAGGUUGACAAUGUAGUAGUGGCACUGGGUCUCUAUCCUUUCCAACAAAGCUAAAUGAAAGGUUCAAUAGAAUGAGUGGAUUAAGCUAUUUAUUUACAUGCCAUUUAUUGAUAGGGAAGAAAGGGCUACAUGUAUCACAUUCUGGGAAUAGUUGAUGUACAGGAAAAGGAUUAUCGUCAUGAAGAAUAAAACAAAAAUAUCGUCUCUACAUGUUUUGUAUGAGUAUUGAAUUUACACCGUUUCGUUGAGUGGUGCUAUCACAAUUGAACUUGAAUUGAAACACUAUGUUCAUUCAUACCAUAUAUACCUUACCAUACCUUAUCAUACACUAGUGUUCAUAUGUAUCAUGUACACACAUCCGUUUUAUCAUGACCAUUAAUUGUAAAAUGCGAGUGAGGAAAGUAGCUACACAUUGCAUGUGGAAGUUAAGUUUGGUAAUGAAUUAAGCUACAUAUUUAAUUUUGUAUUUAAAACUGGCUUUUUGUCGUGAUAUUUUAUUUUAACAUCUUUGAAGUAUGAUACUUACACAGAACUGAUAAUAUAAUUUUCGGUUGUUGGCAGAAUUUUAGAGUAUGCAAUAGAAAUAUUCAGUACACACAUGAAUUGUGUUUGACACUCCUGGCGCUUUAAGCAUAUUACAAAUCAACAGUGUUUUUUUGUUGUUAUUAAACACAUAUAGUCAAGAUACUAGUAGUAGCAUUCAAAAAAGCAGAACGAGAACACAUGUAUUAGUUGUUUUAAAAUGUAUCAGAAAUACAUUUCCAUAAACUAUACACAUUGCUUUAAUGUCGGUGCGCAGUGACGCAGAAAGGCAGUGUGUAGUGUAUCAAUACACUAUUGGAGUAUUAGUAACCGCCACACUUCAAGGUUACACGAUUCUCGAUCGCUUAAAUGGUAAAGAGCUAAUGCGAUACGUGUAAAUGAUCUUCUAGACACAGAUUGGAUCGAACAUCCGUUUAGCUUAGCUUCCUUCCGUAUGCCAUUCGAUCAUAAUAUUUGUGCGAUCGAUAAUCAAAAAUAACUCAUUUGAAAAAGAAUAAGAAAGAUAUGCCGAAUUAGCUCGCUGAUCUUGAUCAAUACAGCGAUUCUUCUUUCAGCCCAUCAGAUAUAUCGUUCUGUUCGGUGAGACACGUUACGUUUAUGUAACCACGUUCUCUGUAGGUCAAGUUACAGUAGCCGUAUAUAAUUAAAUAUUUUAAUAAUGUUAAUAUAGUUGAUCACAUAUUAAACCAUAAUAGAGAGAGAGAGAGAGAGAGAAAGAGAGAGAGUGGUGCAACAAAUGCAAACGAGAUCAAUUUUCGUACUAUGUGAGUGUUGCUGUGUUGCUGUUAUUAGAGUACUGUCCUUUAUUAAUUAUUUCUUUCAAUAUUACCGUUGCUGUUGCUGUUGUUGUUUUAUGGUUUGUUAUAGAAAUUUGCUUGUGGACAUUAUUGGUCUAAUGCUGUACCAUCAUCAUCCUCGUUCAAUGAGCUUAGCCGUGUGAGAAGACGUGAAGUGUUUGAAUCUGCUCGCAGAGCAGUAUAUCAAAAGUGCGUCUACAGUAUGUGAAUGUGCAUGUUGCUCACCCAUUUCUAUUCCUGUUUUUUUGUUGUUGUUGCUCUUGUUCGCUUUUACACAAUUUUAAACAUCGACACGGUUGUGACCGAUAGAGGUAUAACGGGUGUGUUUGGAUGGAUAGGAAUACAAUAAAUUGUGAUAUUAGUAUUUUUAGCGUGACCAGCUCUGAUGCUUCCUGUGCACACAUGUUCAAAAAAAAGCACACAUUUGCUGCAAGCAAAACGCGCUGGUAUUUUUAGAAAUUUUAUCUUUUCCAUUCCGACUGUUGUCAGUAUUGAUUUUCCCUCUGGCUGGAACGCACCGAACAGGCGCGUUUGUGUAGCGCACUUGUGAACAAAGCAAAAAACCCGGGGACCUAACACCAAGUACUUUGUGUACAAUGAGCGAAACUAGAAAUUUGAUGACUACCUUUUUCAUCCUAAUUUUUCUACUUCUGCUACUGUAUCUCGUAUACGAAGGCUUCUAUCAGCCGGAAAUGUAAUUUAAACGGUCAUUUGUUAUUAUGUUCUAUACGUACUUUUACGGCUGCCCAACAAACUGCUGAUGAUUUGUCAAAAGACAAAACCAGUCAUACAAUUUAUUUGAAUUCUGAAUCUAAACUGACGCAAAAACGUUUGGUUUGUUGGUGAUUUUUGGGAUAUGGCUUUCACACCAGCGAAUCAAAAGUAAUAUAUCACGCGUGCACGCACACGCACUUUCAUAGAACUUUCUGUGGCACUACCUAGCACUACCAACCAACCGAACCCUAAGAUCACAAACUUCGCCAAAAAUGAUGGAACGCAUGACGAUGGUGGAUUCUCUGUUAAAACUUGACUUAAAUGUCAAGCUGGGAAACCACAUAGGGUCCAACUGUUUCCAACUCAUCAUCAACCAUUAUCCGCCCGAAUCGUUUAGCGGCAGCAGAAUGAAGAAGGACGAUAAAAUUACCAAGGAUAAAAUGAUGGACCGAAAAGUUAGACACCCUACUGCAUCGUUUUCUACCAAAUCCAUCAUUAUGAAUCUUGUAAUAGCAUUUUUUCUCUAUCUGCUGAGACGCACCAUAGGUCUGUAUUAUUAUACCUUUGCCCGAGCUAUACCCGUUCCACCGCUCAUACAACUGAACGUUAUGAUUAACUUUACCUUUUUUUUAGAAGCUGGUGGGAAAAGCGCCAUAACAAAGUAUAGUAAAUUUAUCAAAUAAAUUGCCCUUCUGUGCCGUUUGAAUGGAAUACCAAUAAAAUUGUUAUGCCAGUCGUUAGUCGUA